UAUACGUAAUAAUUAGCAGGGUUAAAAGUUUUAGCUCGAAAGAAAAGAAACAUGGCGAGCAGAGCAGAGGAUCCAUCUCAAAAUAGCUCCGGCUUACUGACAACGCCGUCGUUUCUCCUCGAAACCGUCUUACUCUUCUUCUACAAAAGCGCAGCCGCAAAUCGGUACCGACGGCGUUGAUGCCGAGCGCGGGAAUAAGCAGAUUACUUUCCGAAAUUCCCGCGAAGAAUCCUUUUACUUGUCUCUUAGAUGAAAUCUCCGAUAUUUGCUCUCUCUCAGGAAUUUGUUUAUCUACAUCAUCAAUUCCACAGUUUUUCACUUGAUUGAUUCGUCCCAUAACUUGCAGGCAAAGAUUGAAUCGGAUUUAUGCACCAGGGUUAUCCGUGUUGAUCUUGAGCUGGGCCACUAAACUUUUGCAUCAGUAAGUUGCCUGGUCUAUCCUCACUGUGAAUCUUACAUGGAUUAUCCAAAUUCUUGAUGCUUCUUUGAUGUAUAUCAACUACUUGCUUUUUUGUAUGUAAACCAUUGUCAUUAAGUUUUAUUUUGUUGCAAGUUGUGUGUUAAUUUAACUUAAUUAUAUUGUCAUGUAAAAGUAUGAAUAGAUACAUCAUACAUGUGUGUUAAAGUGCUUGAAAAUAAAUAAAUACAACUACUAUCUA